rnacentral:rRNA from 1 species
CCCUUCGGGGUGUGACUGCGUACCUUUUGUAUAAUGGGUCAGCGACUUAUAUUCUGUAGCAAGGUUAACCGUAUAGGGGAGCCGGAGGGAAACCGAGUCUUAACCGGGCGUUAAGUUGCAGGGUAUAGACCCGAAACCCGGUGAUCUAGCCAUGGGCAGGUUGAAGGUUGGGUAACACUAACUGGAGGACCGAACCGACUAAUGUUGAAAAAUUAGCGGAUGACCUGUGGCUGGGGGUGAAAGGCCAAUCAAACCGGGAGAUAGCUGGUUCUCCCCGAAAGCUAUUUAGGUAGCGCCUCGUGAAUUCAUCUCCGGGGGUAGAGCACUGUUUCGGCUAGGGGGCCAUCCCGGCUUACCAACCCGAUGCAAACUGCGAAUACCGGAGAAUGUUAUCACGGGAGACACACGGCGGGUGCUAACGUCCGUCGUGAAGAGGGAAACAACCCAGACCGCCAGCUAAGGUCCCAAAGUCAUGGUUAAGUGGGAAACGAUGUGGGAAGGCCCAGACAGCCAGGAUGUUGGCUUAGAAGCAGCCAUCAUUUAAAGAAAGCGUAAUAGCUCACUGGUCGAGUCGGCCUGCGCGGAAGAUGUAACGGGGCUAAACCAUGCACCGAAGCUGCGGCAGCGAACGUAUCACCCAAGACAACUUUACGGAGUUGACGAUUGACGGAGCGAAGCGACGUCAAAGCGUUCAUUAAAGUCGAGUUGGCUUAGGGAUACGUUCGUUGGGUAGGGGAGCGUUCUGUAAGCCUGUGAAGGUGUGUCGUGAGGCAUGCUGGAGGUAUCAGAAGUGCGAAUGCUGACAUAAGUAACGAUAAAGCGGGUGAAAAGCCCGCUCGCCGGAAGACCAAGGGUUCCUGUCCAACGUUAAUCGGGGCAGGGUGAGUCGACCCCUAA